rnacentral:rRNA from 1 species
AAGUAGCUUGCUACUUUGCCGGCGAGCGGCGGACGGGUGAGUAAUGUCUGGGAAACUGCCUGAUGGAGGGGGAUAACUACUGGAAACGGUAGCUAAUACCGCAUAACGUCGCAAGACCAAAGAGGGGGACCUUCGGGCCUCUUGCCAUCAGAUGUGCCCAGAUGGGAUUAGCUAGUAGGUGGGGUAACGGCUCACCUAGGCGACGAUCCCUAGCUGGUCUGAGAGGAUGACCAGCCACACUGGAACUGAGACACGGUCCAGACUCCUACGGGAGGCAGCAGUGGGGAAUAUUGCACAAUGGGCGCAAGCCUGAUGCAGCCAUGCCGCGUGUAUGAAGAAGGCCUUCGGGUUGUAAAGUACUUUCAGCGGAGAGGAAGGCGUUGAGGUUAAUAACCUCAGCGAUUGACGUUACCCGCAGAAGAAGCACCGGCUAACUCCGUGCCAGCAGCCGCGGUAAUACGGAGGGUGCAAGCGUUAAUCGGUAUUACUGGGCGUAAAGCGCACGCAGGCGGUCUGUCAAGUCGGAUGUGAAAUCCCCCGGGCUCAACCUGGGAACUGCAUUCGAAACUGGCAGGCUAGAGUCUUGUAGAGGGGGGUAGAAUUCCAGGUGUAGCGGUGAAAUGCGUAGAGAUCUGGAGGAAUACCGGUGGCGAAGGCGGCCCCCUGCACAAAGACUGACGCUCAGGUGCGAAAGCGUGG